rnacentral:rRNA from 1 species
CGGCUCAGUAACACGUCGUUAAUCUGCCCUUGGAUUGGAGAUAACCUCGGGAAACUGAGGAUAAUAUCCAAUAGGAGAUUGAUUCUGGAACGAUUUAUCUCAAAAAGUUCACGCGUCCAAGGAUGAGACGGCGGCGGAUUAGGUUGUUGGCGGGGUAACGGCCCACCAAGCCAGAGAUCCGUAGGGGCCUUGAAAGAGGGAGCCCCGAGAAGGACCCUGAGAUACUGGUCCUAGUCCUACGGGGUGCAGCAGGCGCGUAACCUUUACAAUGCACGAAAGUGUGAUAAGGGAAUCCCUAGUGCUUAUGGAAACAUAAGCUUUUGGCAAGGGUAGGAACCUUGUCGAAUAAGCAGUGGGUAAGACCGGUGCCAGCCGCCGCGGUAACCCCGGCGCUGCAAGUGGCGAUCAGCAUUACUGGGCCUAAAGCGUUCGUAGCCGGUUUUGUAAAUUCUUUGUGAAAUCGUCAGGCUUAACCUGACGGCGUGCAGAGGAGACUGCAUUACUUGAGAUCGGGAGGCGUUAGAGGUAUUUUGGAGGGAGCGGUAAAAUGCUAUAAUCUCUAAAAGACCACCUGUGGCGAAGGCGUCUAACGAGAACGAUUCUGACGGUGAGGAACGAAGGCCAGGGGAGCAAAAGGGAUUAGAUACCCCUGUAGUCCUGGCAGUAAACUCUGUGGGUUAGGUGUGGGCUGUCCUUCGAGGACAUUCCGCAUCGUAGCGAAGGCGUUAAACCCACCGCCUGGGGAGUACGGUCGCAAGGCUGAAACUUAAAGGAAUUGGCGGGGGAGCACCACAAGGGGUGCGGCGUGCGGUUUAAUUGGAUUCAACGCCGAACAUCUCACCAGGAGCGACAGCAGAAUGAAGGUCAAGCUGAAGACUUUACCAGACACGCUGAGAGGAGGUGCAUG